AUCUCUCCAAUGGUGGUUACAACUUAGACUGAAGGAAGAACCAACAUUGGCAACAUGACACAAACUUCAACAAGAAGAGUUCUACUUUGCUUUUGCUCACUGACAGCUCUCCUCUCAUGUGCUGUUGCUCAGGACCAAGAUGUUGGGAGCAAUAGCUGCUCCUCAACCACCUUGAUGUUUAAACAGCUCUCUACUCAGCUUGCAAAGGCAGCACAAUGUGCUAAAAAUAUUACUAGCCAGUGGAGCGACGACCAGACUGCUGUUGUGAUUAACUCCCUACAAACUCUGACAGUCAUUCUAGAGAAACAUCAAAAAACAGGUAAGAGUCCUGAGCAAAACACAGAUCUGUGUACAAUAAGAGUUUGUUGCUGACAAAUACUUUAUUGGCCCCAAAUAAGCUAUGGC